rnacentral:rRNA from 1 species
CCUACGGGAGGCAGCAGUGGGGAAUAUUGCGCAAUGGGCGAAAGCCUGACGCAGCGACGCCGCGUGAGGGAUGAAGGUCUUCGGAUCGUAAACCUCUGUCAGCAGGGAAGAACGGUCACUGUGCUAAUCAGCAGUGAAUUGACGGUACCUGCAAAGGAAGCACCGGCUAACUCCGUGCCAGCAGCCGCGGGAAUACGGAGGGUGCGAGCGUUAAUCGGAAUUACUGGGCGUAAAGCGCUCGUAGGCGGUAUGUCAAGUCAAGGGGGAAAUCCCCGCGCUCAACGUGGGAACUGCCUUUGAAACUGGCAAACUGGAGUGUGUGAGAGGAUAGUGGAAUUCGAGGUGUAGGGGUGAAAUCCGUAGAUAUCUGGAGGAACAUCAGUGGCGAAGGCGACUAUCUGGCACAUAACUGACGCUGAGGAGCGAAAGCGUGGGUAGCAAACAGGAUUAGAUACCCUGGUAGUC